rnacentral:lncRNA from 1 species
AUGGUUAUAUAACAACGUGAAUAUACUUAAUGCCUCAAAGCUAUACACAUAAAAUUGGCUCAGAGGGUAAAUUUUAUAUUAUACAUCUUUACCACAAAAUUUAAAAAUCCAGAGGAACCCACCUUCAGUUUGGGGUCUGUCCUCCAACUCUCUGUAGGCUGUGUACCAGCAAACUGGCUUUCACAUCACUUAGUGCAGCUUUCUGCUCAUGUGGCUGCAAUGCUUUAAUCUUCCAUUUUGCAGUUCACUAUGUGGAACAGGCUCCCCCAGGAGUAAGUGAAUCACUAGAAUCAAGACGAACACUAGACAGGGAUGUUAGAGAAGAAAUUAAAAUGUUGAGUCAACGUGAGGUUUUACCACUCAACAUUUAAGGGACUGCGAGUCCUCUAAUUCCAUGAAUAUACUGGACAGCCUCACAGUCCUUUUGGAAUCAUCUGCCUUCCAAAUUCCAUUUCUGUAACUCCCAGUCGUUCUAUGUGAUACCCCAGGCAAGAUGCCUACCUCUUCUCUGGUUGUCUUUCUUUAAAAUAGACAUGAAUAUGUACUUGGAAACAAAAUGGACUAAAAUGUGUUUUAAGAUCCUUGAAUCAGAAUGGUGGUGUAAGGUGUAAUUGUUACCUCUUCAUGUGGCUAGUCAUCCAUUCCAUGCUGACUCUCACAGAAUACAAACUGCAAAGAAAAACCCAUGAACAGGCAAUAAAACAAGAGGCCUCUGUUUGAUCUGUUCUGACCACUAUCAAAAGAGAUUGCACUGCACCCUAUCAGAAGAGCCAGGGAAUGGAAGAAAGUAGUUGGAUGUGUAGAAGGGAUGCUACCAGGCAUUGCAGGGGGAAGACUCAUCGCAAGGCUGGAAAGAGGAAACAAAAGAAAGAAGAAAACACAGUGAUCACUACUCUAUUCUGGGCAUUUUGCUCACACAACACAGAUGCCCCCCAAUAAUUCUGCAAAACAGUAAGUUUUAAAGGAAGAUGUCAUAUCUGCUAAUAUCUUUUUGAUUAAAUGAAAGCUAUAGAGCUGGGGUUAUGGAAGUUCAAAGCAAGGAUCUUUCAAAUGUGACUGGUAUCCAUGACUGAAAAUA